rnacentral:piRNA from 1 species
UGACAGCUGUGAGACUUUUCUAGUGU